CACAACAGAAUUUGAGAACUGCUUUCUCUUGUGGUUGGUCAUUCCUUAAAGUGAGUAAGUUGAUGUCUCUUCCAGUGAGGAGCCUGUCUGAAUGUUUUCCCACAAACUGAACAUUCAAAUGGCUUCUGCCCUGCAUGAAUUAGAUAGUGUCUUUCCAGUUUAGAUGGAGACCGAAAACUUUUGGAACAAACGCUGCAUUGGUAAAGAAGGCCAUCAUUCCUCUCCACACGCCCUGAAUAACUGCAACAAUGGCUAUGUUGGCUCUGCUCAGAUUGCAGAAGUGCACUAGAGAGGGCUGUAUGUAGGAUCAGACUUAGAGCAUGGGUGUAAUGCCCAUCUUUCCUGUGUGGUAAAAGUAUGAUACAUCCCAUAUACUGGUUUUUCUUGCUUGGCCUCCAACAAUCUUCUGACCUGUUUAACAUCAUUCUGGUUGGAUUUCUUAGCCACAUCAUUACCAGUAUUUACUUCUAAUUACUUCUUUGGACCAGCAAAGACAACCUUGGACAACUGGGAGAAAAUUCCCCAGAUAAUCUGGGUUCUAGUCCCGAUUUGCUACCGAAUGAUUUCAGUGUGUGGGGGGCGGAUAAACCCCAUCAUAUUCAUCUCUAAAAUGGAGAAAAUGCCCCCUGGCCUGCCUACCACAUCAAUUUUUGUGAGAAUCAAUGGAAAUAAUGCAUCUGAAUGUGUUGGACAACUGUGAAGUGAUUACAAAUGGAAGAUACUACUUUGCUCAACAUUAAUCAGAUUAUGUAACUUUAUCUACAUAAUACAAUUUUUUAGGGUUUCUAACUAAGAAAUAAACAUACUAACUAAACUUAUAGUUCUUUGUAUUUCUUCUUUGCAUUUUGUUGUGGAAUUCCUAAAAGACAGUACAAAGGCAAUGAGGCUAACUGGCUACUUAUAUACUUAUCGAUGGCUGAGUAACUG